CUCCAGAUGUUGCUGAACUACAACUCCCAUGAUUCUCUCGCUAUCUAUGUAAUUAAAAGAAUCAUGGGAGUUGUAGUUCAGCAACAUCUGGAG
rnacentral:miRNA from 1 species